UACGUAGGUGACAAGCGUUGUCCGGAUUUACUGGGCGUAAAGAGCGCGCAGGCGGUCGUUCAAGUCGAGUGUGAAAGCCCCCGGCUCAACUGGGGAGGGUCAUUCGAUACUGAUCGACUCGAAGGCAGGAGAGGGAAGUGGAAUUCCCGGUGUAGUGGUGAAAUGCGUAGAUAUCGGGAGGAACACCGGUGGCGAAGGCGGCAUCCUGGACCGGCAUUGACGCUGAGGCGCGAAAGCCAGGGGAGCAAAGCGGG
rnacentral:rRNA from 1 species